GUGGGCAGCCGCGGCGGGGGGCACCCCGCGACGCACACGCGCGCACUUCGGGCUCCAGGCCCCCCACCCCACCCCCGGGCAAAUGAUGCCGGCCGGGCGCAGGGGCGCGCGUUGGCGGCCGCAGGGCUGAGGCUGUUGGCUGGCAGUCAUUUAAUGAGCGCUUCUUCAGUGCCAGGCCCGGCGCUCGCGCUGGGCGUGCGUCCUCUCGGGUUUCUGGGCGCGGCCCGGUGGACUGACUGUCCUCACACAACCCGGAGGGAGGAACUGGGCCCGGAACCGGAGGCAGACGGCCGGCGACAGCUAUUAAAAAGGAACCAUUCUUCUGAAGAAGUAGAAAGGAGCAGACUGCGGAUCCAACCUGGUUCAGGUUCUCUCCAGCUUGUGGAAGGACAGGGAGGAGCAGAAAGAACCUGGAGAAAGGCAAGGGGAUCACCUGUUACUAUCUCAUCUGAAGCCCUUAUUCUUGGAAUUGUGCCUCUGUAACUUGGGGGAAUGCCUGUGGCUUACAACGGAUAUGCAGAGGAUCCCUACUGAAAAUUUCUCUCCAGCUUUCUCCAGAAACCUGGGCCUUCCUUUACCUUCCUAUCCUUCCAUGGCUAAAAUGAGUGUCUUUAUUCAGCCAUCUUGGAUCUGACAUAGCACUUUAAAAAAAAAAUAAAUAAAAGCAUUCACUAGUUGAAGAACA
rnacentral:lncRNA from 1 species